AGACGCUUCCCUGCCCUCUCGCCUCAACCACCUCGAGGCAGCGGCUCCCAGGAUGUGCACUUUGACGACUAAAGCUGAGCCGGCGCCGCCACGACCUUGGGCGGGUGGUCGGCCUCUGCCCUGAGCAGGAAGUAGAAAGUCUCAGCAGACCCUUCCUGAGGGCCGAGCAACAGUGUAGUGGCGUAUUCCACAUAGCAAACAGGGACCCUGGGAGCAUCUGUGUUCUCGUGUUCUUCUUGCCUGUGAGGCCUCUUCUCUCUGAGGACAGAUGGUAGGACAGAGAGAAGACAGCAAAUGGAAAACAAAGGCUGCUAUUUUUUUGUGGGGCAGCAUUUCUUCCUGUGACAAUAUGGUGUAAGACAAAAUUGUGGCCUGCCAUGAAGUUGUGAGAGAAAAGCAUCCCUCAUUUCUUCAGGAAAGGCCACUGCCGUUCCCUCCGGCUCCUCUUCUCAGGAGU
rnacentral:lncRNA from 1 species